GAUGAACGCUGGCGGCGUGCCUAAUACAUGCAAGUCGAGCGAACAGACGAGGAGCUUGCUCCUCUGACGUUAGCGGCGGACGGGUGAGUAACACGUGGAUACCUACCUAUAAGACUGGGAUAACUUCGGGAAACCGGAGCUAAUACCGGAUAAUAUAUUGAACCGCAUGGUUCAAUAGUGAAAGACGGUUUUGCUGUCACUUAUAGAUGGAUCCGCGCCGCAUUAGCUAGUUGGUAAGGUAACGGCUUACCAAGGCAACGAUGCGUAGCCGACCUGAGAGGGUGAUCGGCCACACUGGAACUGAGACACGGUCCAGACUCCUACGGGAGGCAGCAGUAGGGAAUCUUCCGCAAUGGGCGAAAGCCUGACGGAGCAACGCCGCGUGAGUGAUGAAGGUCUUCGGAUCGUAAAACUCUGUUAUUAGGGAAGAACAAAUGUGUAAGUAACUAUGCACGUCUUGACGGUACCUAAUCAGAAAGCCACGGCUAACUACGUG
rnacentral:rRNA from 1 species